rnacentral:sRNA from 1 species
UCAUUGCUGGACGCGCCCCAGGCGCACCCAGAAACCCUUUGUGAACUUAUACCUAUUGUUGCCUCGGCGUUAGCUGGUCUUUUUAGGCCCCUCACCCCGGUGAGGAACGGCGCGCCGGCGGCCCACUCAACUCUGUUUCUCUGUGAAUCUCUGAGUAAAAAACAAAUGAAUCAAAACUUUCAACAACGGAUCUCUUGGUUCUGGCAUCGAUGAAGAACGCAGCGAAAUGCGAUAAGUAAUGUGAAUUGCAGAAUUCAGUGAAUCAUCGAAUCUUUGAACGCACAUUGCGCCCUCUGGUAUUCCGGAGGGCAUGCCUGUUCGAGCGUCAUUUCAACCCUCAAGCCUGGCUUGGUGUUGGGGCACUGCCUGUAAAAGGGCAGGCCCUGAAAUUCAGUGGCGAGCUCGCCAGGACUCCGAGCGUAGUAGUAUAUCUCGCUCUGAAGGCCUGGCGGUGCCCUGCCGUUAAACCCCAACUUUUGAAAAUUUGACCUCGGAUCAGGUAGGAAUACCCGCUGAACUUAAGCAUAU